rnacentral:rRNA from 1 species
UGGGGAAUCUUGCGCAAUGGGCGAAAGCCUGACGCAGCGACGCCGCGUGCGGGAAGAAGGCCUUCGGGUUGUAAACCGCUUUCAGGAGGGACGAAGCCACUCGGGUUAAUAGCCCAGAGGGUGACGGUACCUCCAGAAGAAGCCCCGGCUAACUACGUGCCAGCAGCCGCGGUAAUACGUAGGGGGCAAGCGUUGUCCGGAUUCAUUGGGCGUAAAGCGCGUGUAGGCGGCCAGGUAGGUCCGGUGUGAAAACUCGAGGCUCAACCUCGAGAGGUCAUCGGAAACCAUCUGGCUAGAGUCCGGAAGAGGAGAGUGGAAUUCCCGGUGUAGCGGUGAAAUGCGCAGAUAUCGGGAAGAGCACCCAUGGCGAAGGCAGCUCUCUGGGACGGUACUGACGCUGAGACGCGAAAGCGUGGGGAGCGAACAGG